rnacentral:sRNA from 1 species
CUCAUCUGUAUCAUCGGAUUCUUUAUCGCCUUCUGAGCUAUUAUCACACCUGUUAUCUCCCUCCUCGCUUUCACCGCUUUCGUAUACAUAUUCAUCCAAGCGUUUUCGUUUGGUCAUACGCCCAUGUGGCUUGUGCAUGGUCUCUGGCCCGUUCGGAAAUCCCGUUUCGGUGCGCCUUGUAGUUUUCAUGCUCUCCCAUGCGCCCUCGAGUCAUUGGAGCUGAAAUUGGGUGGCAGACGGUGCAUAUAACUUCAUCAGAUGAAGGUAGAGAGUGGAAGCCUGAUCCAGAGGUCAGCCAUAAUCAGACUGAAUCAAGAUGGAACGCACCUCUUUCCUCCAGCUGUGCCUCUCUUAAUUUCUUCUAUCCCAUUAUAUAUCGGGGUGACUCUACUUGCUGUUUAAUAGGGUUGUGUGCGGUGACUGCUUGAAGAGAUCAUAACUAACAACAGACCUGUCUUCUUGGACUAUCGACAACGGGUUUGGAUCUGGAAACCGGAGAUGUGCAUGAUGGAUUUACAUAAUAUGUUAGUCAUGCCAAACAGGUAUUAUCCAGUUCUGUGCCCGAUCGCUAUAUACUUGUCGUUGUAUGCACGUCUUUCC